AAGAAGAUGAAAAAUAAAGUAAAAGAAAAGAAAAGAAAGCCAGGUCUAAGGACUAGCUAAGAUGAUCUUUCCAUUGGUUCUGUAAGAAAUAUCGGGAUGGGAGGACCUUUGGUCCCUGGCCCCCUGCCGCCAGGACUUCGGGCUCACAGCCGAUCUGAAUGCUUAUGGUCCUUAGGGCUGGAUGUGGCUGUUUCUCUGGGACACUGGGGAGUAAGGAUCCGAUAGGUCUUUGCCCUCAUCCCUCCAGGCUUACGGCAGGGGACCAGGGAGCAUCCUCGGAAAUCCUCAGAAGAGAAGCAACCUAAGCCAGAGCCUUUUCAGUCCCUGCUCCUUCCGCAGCGAUGGGUCACCAAAGCCAGCCCCCAGAACGUAGACCUUAGGAAGGAAGCAAGUGCUGUCUCGUGUGCAUCCCUGGGGGAUUGGCUCUAAUGAUGUCCUAGUUUAGGUUUCCCAAGAAACAGACCCUGAGACAGGGACGUGAGAUCAGGUGGUUUGGCAGGGGAGCGGGGGAGGUGAUCUCAGAUUGGGGAGUAAAGAAACAGGAGGCCAGUGACAGGGGGUGUGUUAUCAAGCAACUCAGCACUGCAGGCACCUGGAGCCACAGCCACUGUUGAGUUCUCAGACACAGUACAAACAUGCACCAGCAUCCACUGAAUUUGUUUGGUAUCCCAGGUCUGCCAGUCAUUGGUGAGCGGGGGGCGGGAGGGACAGGCAGUGCUAUGGCUGUGAACAGAGGAGGCUGGAGCAGAGCAGGUACUCAGGAAAAGGGGCGGGGGUGCUGACAGGUAGUCGAAAAGGGGCCCAGGGAUAUGCAAGGAGCGGAUCGUGUCUGCCACAAAUACCACAGGGCCCUGGGGCUGGCUUGCUGCCCGCCUAUCCCUCCCACUUUGUGGAAGUUCCUGGGCCAGGGAUCGAACCCACCCAGCAGUGAGAAUGCUGGAUCCUUACCCCACUGAGCCACCAGGGAAUUCCGGAUGCUCAGCGAUGCCAAGUGGGUAAGAACCCAGCAUCACCUGUCCUCCUGCUUUUAGCAACAGAACCCCAAUUUUCUUUGGGGGACCCACAUUCCUUAACAUACCCUUCUCUGCUCAUUGGGGGUUCUGAAGGUGGGGUUUGCCUGUUUGGCUCUAGGGGUCUCAGCUCCCACUAAUGGCGUAUAGCAGCCCCCUGGCCAUAGCCAUUGUUUCUGAGGCGGGUCUGUGUUCCAUUCCGGCCAAUAGGGAAGAGAGAACGCUCUUUCCAUCGCACUGAAAAAGGAUGGGAUAUAAGUCUGGAGAUGCUCCCACCAGGGAGAACCUCCCAGAGGAAGAAGCCAACAUAGCAAGGAGCAGAACCAAGAGAUGGAUAGUGUAGGAAUCCCUGUGCCAUCAUUUGAGCCCCUGGAUCUAGCCACACCUGAAGACGCUAGACUUUCCAGCAGUCUAGUUCCAGUAAAGUCCCUUUUGUGUUUAACUCAGCUGGACUUGGGUCUCUGUCACUUAUACCCCCAAGCUCUACACGGUGUGUAGUGUGGGUUUUUUUCCUUUUUAUGGCUGCACCUGCGGCAUAUGGAAUUUCCCAGGCUAGGGGUCAAAUCGGAGCUGCAUCUGUUGGCCUACACCACAGCCAACAGCAAUGUGGGAUCCGAGCUGCAUCAGCAACCUACACCGUAGCUUGUGGCAACACCAGAUCCUUAACCCACUGAGUGAGGCCAGGGAUCAAACCCACAUCCACAUGGAUGCUAGUCAGGUCCUUAACCACUGGGCUGUCCAGCCUGUCCGGCACAGCCAUCCUCUCCUUUCACCCGGUUCCAUUCAUCUCACUUCCAUUCCUCUCCCCAUUCACCUCUCUCUCCCAAUUUCUGCUCCUUUGCCUGCGGGCUGCUGCCCGGAGGGGCUCUGUGCUGGCCUGAGACUGGAGGGAGGGACACAGGGAGGAGGCCUUGUGCUGGGUGGUGGCGGGGGUGGGGGGCAGCCCCUCCCUCCUCCGUUCCCAGCCUGAUGAUGGAGGCUUGGCCGGGAGGAGGUGGGCAGGGUUGGAGCAGGAGGGGGCUGGGUGGAGCCAGGCCUGCAAGCCCUAAUUAAGUCAGCUAAUUAGGUGGGGAGGAGAAGCCUGUGGGAGUUAAUGAGCUUGGCUAAUUAAGUGGAUCCUGGAGAAUGGCUCAAAACCUAGUGGCUCAGGAGACCUGGGGGCUCAGCCAGGAUGGAGGGAGGGGGGAUGAAGUGCCUGGCGCCUCCUGAUUGUCACCAAAAUCUGCAGCCACUGCUGAGCUUUGAGGCCACUGAGGCCACUGCUAAGACCUACAGUGACCAUCAGGGUGGGCAGCUGCCCACAGGGUCUGGCUUGAAGUUACCGUUAGGGUGUGGCGCCCUCACCAGGGCCACGCCUGCUAUUGACGCUUGGGUUGAAGUCACCCUGGAGGCCUGGUCCUCUGUCACCCAUCUCUCAGGGGUUAAAGCUGGAUUAGCCUUUGAACAUUUGGGGCGAUGGAGGCAGAGAAUGAGCCUGGACCCAGGGACGCUUUGGGGCAGCCACAACAACCCCUGGGACAGGUCGG
rnacentral:lncRNA from 1 species